ensembl:lncRNA
GUCUGUUUAAAACAAAACAACCUCUCCCAAAAAUAACUACCAAACCCAACAGAAGAACAUUCUGCUGGCCCCACUAAACCAAAUAAUCAGACAAUAACAACAUGAUGCCAUUCCAACUUAAUGAAAAUGAAUCAUAUUCGUCACUGCUGCAGCGAUCGCAAGGACAUCUGGGUGGGGGAAAGCAGCCCAGGCCAGGUAGAACAGGGGGCUUUGGUUUUCAUCUCUUUGUCCCUGGAUGUUGUGACUUGGCUCUAUGCACAGCAGGAGUCAGGAUGGACAGUCAGCACUAACAUUUGUGCCAAAUCAGGCUUCACUGGAGCUGAAACUAUACAAAUGUAAUGGUGAGAGAGUGGAAGAAAGAUAAAAGACUCCAUGGUUUGGACUGGCUGUGAACCACAGACUAUGUCACAUUGUCACAGAAGUCCUUCCAUCAGAUCAUUGCCAACCUGAAAGAUCUUUGACUAGCCAAAUACCUUGCAGACUUUUCUAUUUGUUGAAUUAGCCAUGCAAUAAAUAAAAAAAUAAUGUUAUAGAGACUUAAUAGUAGGCAAUUAGGUGUCUGUGCUGUCAGUUAAUGAUAAUAGUGUUAAAAAAUAUAGCCAUUCUCAUUGUAUCCACAAUUGCAUUUUAUGCCUUAACUUCAUAUUCAAAGGCAAAUACAAGUUUUUAAUCUGUUUUAUAUAUGUGUGGUUAUAUAAAUUUUCUGCUGUGGUUGCAUGCAGUCAUCAGGUUUGCCAUUGCAGAGCUGCAUUGUGGUAGUUCAGAUUCCAAAUGAAAAGAGCACAAAUUGCUGACUUGAGCAAUGCGCUGUUUCUGACGUUUGAAGUAAAUCUUAGUUAUGUAAUUAUCUUUCACCGUAGCAGGACCAAGUAAAUCAUGACUCUGCCAUACUCAGCAUGAUGUGUGAGAUAGCUUUCGUUUUGCCUGAUGAUGGGAAACGACUGAAAGUUUCUACAGCUUGUGCUGUGGAGCUCAGCUCUCUGUCUAGGUGUCACAAGUCACACCCUUGAAGCUCAGAGCGUGGAGAAUGCAUGCAUUUACCACUUUCCAGAAAUAAUGGAAUACCUCUCUGCACAUGGCCUAAACUUUUUCAGUCCAUAGUGACUCAAAGGGCAAAUGGACCCCAUCUGCUGACAGAAGCCAGCCUGGGUGAAACAGCAAAUGUGGAAGCAAGUACCUUGGAAUUAACACCAGUACUUUCCGGCAUCAAAUAAACCAGCACCAAAUUAAAACAUGGUCAAAGAGACUGUUGUUGCCUUUACUGAAGGCUAGAUAGGAUAUGUGUGUGGGUUAAAUAUGUGUCUAUUGGGAGACUCUGCAUGCAAAAAAUAACUGGUGUUUCUAGGAGACAAUGUAGACAUAUAAAUUGUGUGAAAUAAAGAAAAGCCAUUACCAUUUGUAGAUGUGAACUGAGUUACAGAAAAGUAGCUUGCAUGAAAAUAUAACAUCAUCCAAGGUUUGCAGAGAACCAGUAACAGCAGUUCUGAUCCCUGUGACUUGCCAUAUGUCCCUAUUUAAGUAUUGGAAUAAAUGGACUGUGGAAUGGAUAGUUCUAAACAAUAUAUUAAUAAAAUAGUUGUAAUGAAGAUGUGAAUUAACUAAUUAAAUUAAAUAGCUGUUAGUAAUGGUUUGGGACACAAUGAUCACUUUGGAUUAGAACAGGAAUACAACAACUUCUGACAGAGCUGGCCCACCUGGUGUCCUUGAUUGCUGUUUAGUGAUUGUACAUUUCAUUAGAUUGUAGACAGGUGAGUUGAACCUGAAUACUUUCCACGCAGAAAGAAAUAUCUCAUUAUUGAGCUCCAAGAUUGCCUUAUGAGUUAAUUUUUCCUUUCUUUUGAGUGGUUUCCUGCAGGCUGUAAAAAAUCAUAGAGCUAAUACUAUAAUAAACAGAGGAGAACUACACAACUGCACAGUUAAAAUUGUGAUCUCUUUUGGAAGAUUUACCUACUUUACUGUAGUUUGCCAAAGGGCACAGUUGAUCUUAUGAGUGAUGUAGUUGCUCUUAAUAUAGCCACAUGAAGUCAAAUUGCACAUGGGUUUUAUACACAUAUUUCGUAUAUUUAAGGCAUCUAUUUACUUUCUCCUGAAGCACAAGUGAUGGCUGAAGAAGAUGCUAUUCCCUCUUCCUGUUUUCAUAAUCAAAGCUGGAGUUCCAGAUACAAGAUAAAUUAAACUAAGUGUCAGGCACUUGGAAUUCAGAGGUAGCCAUGUCUCUAUGCCCAGUCACCUUGGGGAAAAUAAUACUUAAUAAUAUGAAAAGAAAU